rnacentral:tRNA from 1 species
GGGAAUGAUUGCAAGGCUGGUGCCGGCCGCGGUCUUCAAAACCGUUGGGAUCUACACAAUAGAUCCGGUGAGUUCGAUUCUCACGCGUUCCCG